rnacentral:lncRNA from 1 species
CUAUAAUACCUGAUGUAUUCAUCUAUGUGUAAUAAGUGUCAAAAACUGCACAGAUUCCUCUCUUUUCAUAGUUAAUCUAGAGCAAUUUUAUUAUCUAAUAAAACUUUAGAAAGAGAAUUUAAAGAAGUCUGUUGUGCAACCAUAGCCUUUGCAGUUGAACCUGCUGUAGAGCCUAUAAUGAGUGAUACAUUUGUAAGCACUGCCUCAUUUAUAUUUAUUUCAGGCCAUGAGAAAAGAGACCUAAGAAAUGAUGCCCAUCCAGAAGAGUGAAGACUUCCUGAAAAUGUUCUUUUAACCUAAGAUGUAGGUUAAGAGGAGUGAAAAAAUGUUCUGUUUCUGACUGAUGAUGGAGCAACAAAGAUCCUAAGAGCGAUCCCGCAAUUCAUUCAUCUUGAAUAGACUCAUAGAGCUUCAAGAGUGGGCUUCUGAAGCCCACUCCAACUCCAUUCUUGUUCCUUGGUCCCUCUGGAGCUGGUCUGGCCCCUAAGGAUGUAUGUUUCUUAUUAAUAACACUGAGCAGUUAGGAAGCAGAUGUGCCUCUCCAGGGAAACUCACAAGUGUCCACUGACCUAGUAUCUGCGGAGAACCAUAGCAGUUGUGGUCUCUCUCCCCAGCUUCAAGCAAGGGCAACUUUUCCCUGUGUCUGGUUCUUUUGCUGUCACCUGAAGCCACAGAAAAUGAUCUGAACCUGCUCAGUCCCUGGACAUAUCUGGGGAAUACAAAGUCUCAGAGUCGCUCUCUAAGAAUUGCCAGCAUGUUCUAGAGAUUCUUUAGAUGCAUAGCUGCAUGGAGCAAAACAGGGUCAGGGGAUGUGUGCCGAGGCCAAGGUCUUCUCUUAUGUUUCAAAAAUAUUAACAUUUCAGGCCUGUCUUCUUUUAAAGGAUAGCUCAUGUAUAUGAUUUUUUAAAAAAAAAUCUACCAAAUCAAAUAAAGAAGUCCUGGGAGUUCACCCGGUGUUUUCUACAGAACCAAGGUAUUCAUAUUGAGAUCCUUCAAUAUAAUCAGCUAUGUGACCUUGGUUAAGUUAAUUAAUGCCUCUGAAACUGAGGUUCCUCAUCUGUGAAAUGGAGAUAUUCAACAAAGCACCCUGUGGGGAUUAGAUGAGAUUGCACAUCUGACUGCCUAGAGUAUAGUAAGGGGUCACUGUUUCCUCUUCACUCCUCAGGAAAAUUUGAUUGAACAAGGAUAGAAACUUUGAUUCUAGGGACAGAAGGUCUUCAGAAGUCUUUGAGGCCAGAGGGCCUGUCAUAGAACUGCAGUGUAGGUUCAUUAAAACGCUGUCAUCCUAAUGUUUAUCCACAGUAUCUAAUAGAUUUAAAAGGAAGACAAUAUGGCACAGACUAUUUCGGAAACCUAUGCCCAUUCUGCCAAGAGGAUAUCGCUAUUGGUGGUCAGACUAUUUCACUUAUAAGGUUUCUUUUUUCCUUAAGUCAUAAAGAUUAACAUUUACUAAAAAUUUGAGGGUCCAUUAAUGGACUCCCACAUGGCUUUCCUCUUUCCUUUGAGCUGGAUUCAUUUUCACUGAGUCCCGAGUCCUGCACAUCUGACAAUUGCUUCAGACCUUGGACAUGCUUGAAUUAUUUUAUGCAAAUCAUUUGAAAAGGCAAAGUACCACUGUUCUUUCUUGAGUUUCUUCGUAAACUGGUUUCUAAUUUAUCUGCUGCUUUUUCUCGAUCCAAUUUGUGCCUAUGUCUUACUAUAGAUUCUUUGGAAAUAAAGAAAUAAAGAAUAUAUCUGUAGCUAUUUUGUUAAACUAAGAAUGUUUUAAAAUAUUUUAUUGUAAAAUAAAAUUCCUUUGUUCUCUCAGAA